GCCAGGCGCUGUGGCCCACGCCUGUAAUCCCGGUAGCUCGGGAGGCUGAGGCAGGAGGAUGGUAAGUUUGAGGCCAGCCUCAGCAACUCAGUGAGACCCUGUGUCUA
rnacentral:sRNA from 1 species